AAAAACAGCCAGUUUGUGUGCUUGGUAAGUAGAAAGGAACUGGUGCUAGCCAGGCCCUUUUUCCCUUGGGUGAGAGACUUUCUCAUCCAGACAAUGUGGAUGUGUUGCACAUAAUGACUUACUCACUGAGUGUAUCAUAACCUGAAGGAGACUGUGCCAUAUGUACAGAAAUCCAAAACAAGCCAUUUCAGGCAUAAAUUCAGCUUAAAAUAGGUUUCAUUUCUACAUGUAGACUCACAGAAUCCUGCGACUUUGGAAUGUUUUCUAUCAACCACCAACCAUGUGAUUAGACAGAAACAGAUUUUUGACAGUAUGACAUCCUUUAAUCUUAGAGAUCGAUUUGUCAAGCAAAGAUUAUUUGUUGGUAGCCUCUCAAAUUUGACACUUCCGUGCACUUCUCGUCCACGUUUUACAGCAUCCAAAAUAAAUGAGAAAUGCUGAAGCUGGCACUGCAACAGAAUCCAACUCCAAGUGUAUAAAACUGUGAAUAUGUGAGAAAAGACUGUGUGUGAGGAAAUGCAUUCAGCUGAAAUCCUGCUGGAGAUCCAAUGAGCCACAAUAACAGUGUUACAAGGCCAAUUGCUAUGGCAACCAUCAAGCUCUACCAUUUGUCAACAGGGUGGUGAUGAUAUCAGAGCUUGACGUCUCUGUGCCACCCUCUCAAUCACACCCGAUCUUUACUUAGAAGCACCGCCGUGGCCCCUUGUACGCCAGAAUCAGAUCAUUUUGGAAGGUGGGCUAACAUAUUCCAAAAGGCCUGAAAAGGGUUGCCUAGGGGUUAAUGCUUGGGUUUUGGGGUUAGAAUUCAUCUUAGAUUAGAUUUGGAUGUGUAGUUGUCAUGGUUGAGGUCAG